CUCGGCAGAGCCAUUUAAGAGGCUCUUAAAUACUUUUCAUACCCCACUUUUAUUUUUGUAUGAGAACAUUUCACUGUGGGGACAACAGGGACCACUAUGAUAAAAUCCAAUGCAACCGCUGUACAAAAACCUGGAAACAAGCUCAACAGAAGAGCAGUGGUAACGAGGUGAAGGAGCUGUUAUCCUACUUCAAUCAAAGUGGUUCAGUGAAGGACCACGAAACUGCAAGGCACUUCUAACGAAACAAAAUGCAUGAUUUUUGUGUAAUUUUAUCUGAGCAUUGAUCACUCUUUAUCCCAACUCCAGCACGCUGCUUGUCUUUUUUCUCCCGAUCAAACCUGGCGAAGAAUCGCGCGACCAUUUCUUACACCACUUGAUGCGACUUCCUUGGCAGAAUUCGAAUGUGUCUCCUCUGUUAUAAAGCCUUUUUUGAGUCCCACUAUCUUUUAUGUGCUAUCUUGACUUGACCAGUAACUGGUAAUUGCGCCAACAGUCCACUUUUAGAUGACUGGUCGAAGGUGUUGGCCUAAUAUGAACUGUUGAUGUAGAAUAACCUACUUCGGGACAGGCACCAGAUUAACGGUAUCAGAAUGGCACCACGCAGACUAGAAAUUGACGCCGUUUUGAGGCUGCAUGUGACGGAGUCGUGUCACUGUAAUUUCGGGCCAGGCACCAAAUUAACAGUUCUUGAAGGCGCUGUUAAAGAUCCUAGAAUCACUAUGUUUCUGCCCUCUCCAGAAGAGAUUAAUGAGAAGGGGAAGGCAACUGUGGUUUGCCUAAUAUCUAACUUCUACCCAGACAAUAUCAAGAUCACCUGGAUCAUUAAUAACAAGCCUUUGCUGGACAAUGAUGCAGAGAUUCUGACUGACCUCAAUUCCAAGCCAGAGGAUGGGAAAAAAUCCUACAGCAUCAGCAGUCGGUUACGAUUGCAAGCUGCUGAUUUGGUCGAGCCUCAAACUAUUGAGUGCAAAGUGAAUCAUUACACUUCAAAAAAGGAACAGACACACAGUGCAAAUAUAACCAUCAGCAUUGGAGCCUGUGGUGUUAGUAAAGAAGAAAAAUUCCAAAGCAUGGGAGCAGCAAAAUUGACAUAUGUGAUCCUGUUCUGCAAAAGCAUCUUGUAUGCAUUGUUCGUGUCAUUUCUUGCUUGGAAAGCUAAGGUCACUUCCAGCAAAAGGUAUGACUGAUCGUUACAAAGCAUUGAACUUAGUGGAUGGAUAACGGCAGAACACAUGAAAGAGGAAGGAGAGACAAAUCCAGUGUAUUGUGAAUAUCAAUCGGUAACUUUAUCCGGUCCAUUCCUGCUGUACUAGUGUAAAUUUGACCUUUCCCCUGACUCUCCAAUGGUGUUGCUUGAGAUUAUCAGAAAAAAAUAUGCCUUGAUCUUCCUUUUCAACUAGAAUAAUUAUUUUCAUUGUUUAAUUUCUUUUGUCAGUAGUCUGAAUAGAUUAAAUUUCAAAGUUGCACAAUUCCUGUACCAGUCUGUCAUUUAUUAUCCAAUGCUAGCGCUUUCUAAAAAAAAUCUAAAUAUAAUUAGAGAGAUUAGAGUGCAAGUGGAGGAUAUUCAACCAAUUAUGCAUGUGCCUGUUCUUUCAGUGUCAACUAUGAGUUCCAAUUAAUUACAAGAUCAACUAACCCAGUUUCUCUAAUCCAACUAUGCAAGCAAAUUUCUACAUCCCAAAUCAUAUUUUUGUAAAGCCAUAUAUAUUAUGAGGCAGUAGAAAGCGUUUGGAACUCAAAACCCCUUUAAUGCAAAUGUCAAAGCUAUCACCUUACAGAUUGCAAUGAAAAUAGAGAUUAGAAUCAUGCAUUGUCACAAAGUCCUCAGUAGAUCUGGUAUAGACAAGUCA